rnacentral:rRNA from 1 species
CCUACGGGGGGCUGCAGUAGGGAAUAUUGCUCAAUGGGGGAAACCCUGAAGCAGCAACGCCGCGUGGAGGAUGAAGGUUUUCGGAUUGUAAAAUCCUUUUGUUAGAGAAGAUAAUGACGGUAUCUAACGAAUAAGCACCGGCUAACUCCGUGCCAGCAGCCGCGGUAAUACGGAGGGUGCAAGCGUUACUCGGAACCACUGGGCGUAAAGGGCGCGUAGGCGGGAUAGCAAGUCAGAUGUGAAAUCCUAUGGCUUAACCAUAGAACUGCAUUUGAAACUGUUAUUCUAGAGUAUGGGAGAGGUAGGUGGAAUGCUUGGUGUAGGGGUAAAAUCCGUAGAGAUCAAGAGGAAUACUCAUUGCGAAGGCGACCUGCUAGAACAUAACUGACGCUGAUGCGCGAAAGCGUGGGGAGCAAACAGGAUUAGAUACCCGAGUAGUC